GAUGAACGCUGGCGGCGUGCCUAAUACAUGCAAGUCGAGCGAACGGACGAGAAGCUUGCUUCUCUGAUGUUAGCGGCGGACGGGUGAGUAACACGUGGAUAACCUACCUAUGAGACUGGGAUAACUUCGGGAAACCGUAGCUAAUACCGGAUAAUAUUUUGAACCGCAUGGUUCAAAAGUGAAAGACGGUCUUGCUGUCACUUAUAGAUGGAUCCGCGCUGCAUUAGCUAGUUGGUAAGGUAACGGCUUACCAAGGCAACGAUGCAUAGCCGACCUGAGAGGGUGAUCGGCCACACUGGAACUGAGACACGGUCCAGACUCCUACGGGAGGCAGCAGUAGGGAAUCUUCCGCAAUGGGCGAAAGCCUGACGGAGCAACGCCGCGUGAGUGAUGAAGGUCUUCGGAUCGUAAAACUCUGUUAUUAGGGAAGAACAUAUGUGUAAGUAACUGUGCACAUCUUGACGGUACCUAAUCAGAAAGCCACGGCUAACUACGUG
rnacentral:rRNA from 1 species